rnacentral:rRNA from 1 species
UACGGAGGGUGCAAUCGUUGCUCGGAAUCAUUGGGCGUAAAGCGCACGUAGGCGGCCGACUAAGUCGGGUGUGAAAGCCCUGGGCUCAACCCAGGAAGUGCACUCGAAACUGACCGGCUUGAAUAUGGAAGAGGGUUGCGGAAUUCCCGGUGUAGAGGUGAAAUUCGUAGAUAUCGGGAGGAACACCAGUGGCGAAGGCGGCAACCUGGGCCAAUAUUGACGCUGAGGUGCGAAAGCGUGGGGAGCAAACAGG